rnacentral:rRNA from 1 species
UACGUAGGGUGCGAGCGUUGUCCGGAAUUACUGGGCGUAAAGAGCUCGUAGGUGGUUUGUCGCGUUGUUCGUGAAAUCCCGCAGCUUAACUGCGGGCGUGCGGGCGAUACGGGCAGACUGGAGUACUGCAGGGGAGACUGGAAUUCCUGGUGUAGCGGUGGAAUGCGCAGAUAUCGGGAGGAACAUCAGUGGCGAAGGCGGCUGUCUGGCCCAAUACUGACACUCAGGUGCGACAGCGUGGGGAGCAAACAGG